rnacentral:sRNA from 1 species
GCGAGUUUACAACUCCCAAACCCCAAUGUGAACGUUACCAAUCUGUUGCCUCGGCGGGAUUCUCUUGCCCCGGGCGCGUCGCAGCCCCGGAUCCCACGGCGCCCGCCGGAGGACCAACUCCAAACUCUUUUUUCUCUCCGUCGCGGCUCCCGUCGCGGCUCUGUUUUAUUUUUGCUCUGAGCCUUUCUCGGCGACCCUAGCGGCCGUCUCGAAAAUGAAUCAAAACUUUCAACAACGGAUCUCUUGGUUCUGGCAUCGAUGAAGAACGCAGCGAAAUGCGAUAAGUAAUGUGAAUUGCAGAAUUCAGUGAAUCAUCGAAUCUUUGAACGCACAUUGCUCCCGCCAGUAUUCUGGCGGGCAUGCCUGUCCGAGCGUCAUUUCAACCCUCGAACCCCUCCGGGGGGUUGGCGUUGGGGAUCGGCCCCUCACCGGGCCGCCCCCGAAAUACAGUGGCGGUCUCGCCGCAGCCUCGCCUGCGCAGUAGUUUGCACACUCGCACCGGGAGCGCGGCGCGGCCACAUC